GCCAGGGUGGCUCAGUCAGUUCAGCGUCUGACUUUGGCUCAGGUCAGGAUCGCGUGGGUUUGAGCCCCACGUCAGGCU
rnacentral:tRNA from 1 species